UGCCGACCACUCUUCACCACAUGAGAAUCAAUUUUUGCAUGAAGUAUUCCCAUGCCAAUCAGAUGUUUAUCACUCUCUUUUCGAGCUCCAUGGAUAAGGAUAAAGUUUGGAUCAAGUUAAAUUUAAAUUUGAUUUAAAUGGUGAUAAGGAUAAAUCCUUAUUUGAACUUGAAUCAAACUACCUCAUCUUAUCCUUAUCC
rnacentral:lncRNA from 1 species